CCUCACUCCCUGCUGCCCUGCAGCCUGCCGGGCCGCUCCAUUUGGGCACAGGGUUUAGCACAAGUGAGCAGGCAGCUCACGUGGUGAGCGGUGGGUGGCCAUGGCUGCCCUGUAUCUGCCUCCUGUUCACAUUUGCAGCAGCCGACUUCUAUGCAAGGCAGGGUCUAAAGUGGAUCCCGCUGAGUUUGGCCCAGUUUGGCUGGUGCUGUUCAGCUCAGGGACAGGAUGGAAGGAUGGAGCUGAGACUCAUAGAGCCAGCACUCCCAGCAUCCCAUUCCUGCAGUGGAUACACAGAUUACCUAUCAGUAGAGCUCCUUCUUAAGCCGGAUUGAUUGAGGCAGAAUUUGCAAUCGUUGAAUGAGAGAUGACACAGUCAUAGAAUGGCUCAGGUUGGAGGGGACGCUAAAGAUCACCCAGUUCCAGCCCACCGCCGUGGGCAGGGAUGUGGAUGGAGAACUGCUUUGUACUGUAACAGUUUCAUUUAGAAGCGAGAAGUCCUUCAUGAGGAGGUAGUGGGAGGAGGAGGUUAUUGACAAUGCCACUCCUGUCCGAAGGAAUGUGCUGGAAAGUUGCAGUGGCCUCUAGAUGGCAGCCCCAUUACUCACUCGUCAGAAAACUGAAAAUAAACGCCUUCCCUUUCAAAGCUGGACUUACAGGCAGGCCUAAAGCUUCGGGAGCUCAGACCAAAACCCGCGGGCAGUCAAGAUGACAGUGGGACCCAUCCGGCUUUGUUUUUUCCCCUUCGCCUCGCCCAAAAGGAGGAGCGAGGACUCGCUUCCCUCUGGACUCUGUAUUUGGUAAUGGGCCGGGAGCUGCCGCUGGGAGCUCGUCCUGACGUUCCUGGAGUCGUCUGGAAAGCGAGGCGGAGCCGCGGUGCUGUGCCCAGGGGUGCGCCUCGCCCCGGGUGCCGGCGGCUGUGCUGGGAGCGGGAGGUCCGCGCCGUGCUGCCGUGUGUGACCCGUGGGACGCGGGGCGGGCAGCUUCCACAGCACCAGAGCAGCGCUCUGCCAGAGCUAUUUGUAUAGUAAAUUGCUGUAUUGUUUCAAUUAAAAAAACGCAGCCGGGCAUUUAAUGGCUCCCAUCUGCGGCCACUCUGCGUAAUUCACUUCCCACUUUAAGGUUUUGCCAGCAGAUUUAGUCUGAGCCUCAUCAGCAGGGGACCUGGAUAAGAAACCGUGGUCAGCUGCCUCUCAGCUCCGAGCCAGUCUUCCUCAAAGAGCGACGGUAACUUUGGAUGCCACGACUGCGUGACACGCAGCUGCAACCUUGACCUGGUAGGAUCUCCUACGGUCAGAUCCAGCAGAGAGCCGUGCUGUGUGUGUGGUGACACGCAUACUGACCUACGUGUGCACGUGAAGACUUCCAGAGCUGCAUCUGCUUCAGACGUGACACUGAUGUCACCCCACGGAUGCUGCCUCGCUGUGGACAAGGCAACGGACCAAAGUUGGCGUUAUUUCCUCCGUGGAGAGCAGGGACCUCAAGGAUGGCUCUGGUGCAGCUGGCGCUCCCGUGGCGGGCAGUCACAGCCCACGCCAACCCUCUGCCCACCGCGCCUUCAUACCCUGGGGGUCAGAGUGGGCCGAGGCAGGUCCUAGGCGAGUGUUCCCACUGCCGAGCCUGCAGCUUGGUCACCAGCGCCCUCCGGCCAGCCUCAUAAACAUCACCCACCGGGCUCUGCUGCCCAUCCCCUGCUCCCCCAGCCAAGGGUCACGAGCUGCGGCCGGCAGCCGGCUGCCAAACACAGCCGUGGCUCUGUGCAGCCAGCCUGCGAGAGGUCGUCACACGCCUCCUUAAGCAAACAGGGAUCCACGCCAGUUGAUAAAUCAUUUACGAGGAGAAGUCAGAAGCAAGGAACUAGAUUAACCAGGUCACUGGGUGUCCUGAGGGAAUGACGUGUCAGUGGAGCUGAAACAGCAGAUCCCGCAGUUGCAAUCUGUUGCCUUCUUCUGUCCUGACAGCAAUUCAUGGAAAUCCCUGGAACUAGACACUAGUGAUGGAAAAAUCCAUUAGCUCAUCCAAAGUCAGCUUGCUAGUUAAAGCAGUCACUCCCAUUGUACAUUUUUUGGCAGAGUUAAAAUGUCUCAAGAGAGGGGAUUUCCACCAGUUCCUUCUCAAGGGGAAACUAUUCCACCUAUCGGGAAGGCAGCCUCGAGUGGUGCUAUUUAUGUAAAAGAGAAGUAACUCCAAGCCUGAAAGGGAAAACCGAAAGGUUCUGAUGCAGAAACACAGGCAGCGGUCGAUAGCCUGCCCCGGCUGACAUGUGCCACGCACAGCACAUCUGCGAUGGGAACACCAGGGGCCCACGUGUGUUUAUAUACAUCCACCUAGGUGUGUUUGUGUGUAUGCACAGCCUGCCUCUCCUUCCUCAGGCUGGUUAUGACCUUGUGCCUCCCUGGCUAAUCGACGUGUCGUAUCGUGAUCUCACAACCAGGUUACACUUAUGUAAUGCCACUGGCAUCAAGGCGAAGAAAAUUGCUAAAUUGCUUUGAGGAGGGGACAGACGCAUGGAAAAAGAGAGGCACCGGCUGCUGCUGCUGCUCUGGCACACGCUUCCCCUCUGUGUGGGGACAUGGCAUGUCCCCUAGGGGCCUCGGUUCCCCAGCUGCGUGCCAGGCACAGCGACCACCCUCAGUGCUCCUGGCGUCUUGUGGCUGAACGCACAGCCUCUGGCAGCACCCUGCCCGCAGCAGCAGGGAAGGUGCUGCAACGCAGAGCUAUGUCACUGAGGUUGUCGGCAGAGGCUAUGGAGGUUUUGGCAGCCAGGAUUUCAGCACCUGGGAAGCACUUCGGGACAGUGGGGAAAUAAAUGAGCUGUGUGAUGGCAUUUAAGGCCUUAUCAUGAGUUUCAGAGCUAGUUCUGCGUUCAGAUGAAUGGGUGUAGCACACGUUGCUGAGCUAGAAUGUGUAGAGACAGGGAGGGUUGCUCUGUGUUCCCAUUCAGAAAGCUCUCAGCCAGCAGAGCUGUAACUUGCAGUCCUGGUGCCUCAGUUCAGGAGCAGGGCUCUGCAGCUAGGGUAGAUACAAUGGCUAUAUUAGCAGCAAACAAACCCCACAUUAUCCAGGGCCCUGAUUACCAGUAUGAUGGGGUGUUGGCUAUAUGCCUCUUAUGAGAAGAAGGUGGGGUAUUGCCUGGGCGUUUGCCCUGGAUUUGUAACUCCUUCUCAACUAGUUGUUUCGUGUGCCUCUCAAAACCUCACUGCUGGCACUGCUGUCUUCCCCUUCCGGGACUCCUGACAUUCAGGUACCAUGUUUUGCACGGACUCGACAGCCACGUACCCGUCAGUUACAUUGGGACUGCUCUCGUGAGUGCCCUGUGCAUGUUAUUGUAGGGUGGCUUGUGAGUUCUAUUCGGUACAUCCCUGGCUUUGGGCCGCAUGUUCCGCUUUGCAAGGCUUUACUUUGUUUAGCACAAACCACACUGAAGCACAAAUGACAUCUGUGAGGACUGAUAUGGUGUGGAAAGGGACCUAACCAAAAAAGCGCGGGUCAAAUCCUGGGCCUCGGCGGGGUCCCUUUAAUUGCUGUCAGGUCCCAGUGCCAGUUGACCUACUGAGCCCCUUGCCCCUUGCACCAUGGAGGGAUAAGAGCAGGUGAAGCCCAGUAACAGUUUAACUAUGAGAUUAACUCUCUGCCAGUUCCACUACAGAGGGCCCUCUGUUUCUCUGGACAAAAGGUGCUGACUCCAGCCUCCCCAACACGUUGGCCCACGUUCUCCAUCCCCUUCAUGGCCUGGCCUGCCUUCCCCACACCCUGCAGUUCCAGCCUGACCCUCAGCGAAGGCAGGGAGCCUGGGCUCUGCAGCCUUAGGUGGUGCUGCUGCCUGAAGGAGGGCCAGAGUAAGAGACAUCUUCCUCUCUACUCCCCUACACCUACAAGGUCCCAGUGCUCUUCAGAACCACACACCAAGGUAGGACGAGAUGCAGGGAGGCCUGUAACGGUCCAGGUGCUCGGCUGCGUGUCCUCCCUGCUCCUAAGCACCACUGAGACCCUGGUUUCUCAUGCCUUGAAAUUCAUGGGUGUUUGGCCAUGCCCCUCAACACAUGCAGGACCAGGCUCCCGAACUGUCCCAAAGCCCACAGAUGUCAAGGAGGUUCCUUC
ensembl:lncRNA